GGUUGACACUCGAUCAUUCUGGAAUAAUUCUGGGUUAAUUCUGGAAUGAACGGAAUGACGAUGAUGAUUCUAGCAAAAAUGAUCAAGUGCGGGUAAGAGUGUAACUGUCAUAAUAUUUAUCUUUCUAAACCAAAACAUGUUACGGUUCUCUGCAGCAUUGACCUGGUAGGACAACAGAACGGGCGGUUGUUCUGUACUGUUCCGGUGCCGUGCGACAUCCAGAGCAACGGACGGAUUGGCCUUCACUGGAAUUUGACCGAGCUGCUGUUGGCCACUAGACGAAUUUGACAGCAUCUAAGUGGACCAGCUACGUACCGGCGAGGCCAACGUGCUAGAUAUUCCGGUGGAGGUUGAUUCAGCGCAUCCAAGAGCAGGCUUGUGAGCGGCAGACGGAACUGAACCUGUUGGGAGACUUGAUUGGGCCGCAGACAGCAAGGGAAGGGACUGAGGUGGCGGAGAUUCUUUGGACGAGUCGGAUGAGGAGUUCGCGAGGAGGCUGAUGCCGACGGGCAGGACUCUUUUUUGAUUGAAGACUAACGAGGAGGAUGAGGGGAGAUUUUUUAAAACAAGAACGGCGUCAAAACGUGCUGCCGGCCGAGAUCGUCAUGGACAAAAUUACCAAGAAGCAAACGAAAAUUCAGAUGCAGUCACAGAAGAUUCCGACUAAAAGGUUCUAGAAAUAAAGCGCCAGAGACGUGCUGAA